rnacentral:misc_RNA from 1 species
AAGCAGGGCGGGAACCUGGAA